rnacentral:rRNA from 1 species
GAUGAACGCUGGCGGCGUGCCUAAUACAUGCAAGUCGAGCGAACAGACGAGGAGCUUGCUCCUCUGACGUUAGCGGCGGACGGGUGAGUAACACGUGGAUAACCUACCUAUAAGACUGGGAUAACUUCGGGAAACCGGAGCUAAUACCGGAUAAUAUAUUGAACCGCAUGGUUCAAUAGUGAAAGACGGUUUUGCUGUCACUUAUAGAUGGAUCCGCGCCGCAUUAGCUAGUUGGUAAGGUAACGGCUUACCAAGGCAACGAUGCGUAGCCGACCUGAGAGGGUGAUCGGCCACACUGGAACUGAGACACGGUCCAGACUCCUACGGGAGGCAGCAGUAGGGAAUCUUCCGCAACGGGCGAAAGCCUGACGGAGCAACGCCGCGUGAGUGAUGAAGCUCUUCGGAUCGUAAAACUCUGUUAUUAGGGAAGAACAAAUGUGUAAGUAACUAUGCACGUCUUGACGGUACCUAAUCAGAAAGCCACGGCUAACUACGUG